CAUUCGGUUGGGAAGACACCUUC
rnacentral:snRNA from 1 species